rnacentral:rRNA from 1 species
CCUACGGGUGGCUGCAGUGAGGAAUAUUGGUCAAUGGACGAGAGUCUGAACCAGCCAAGUAGCGUGAAGGAUGACUGCCCUAUGGGUUGUAAACUUCUUUUAUAAAGGAAUAAAACGAGGCACGUGUGCCUUUUUGCAUGUACUUUAUGAAUAAGGAUCGGCUAACUCCGUGCCAGCAGCCGCGGUAAUACGGAGGAUCCGAGCGUUAUCCGGAUUUAUUGGGUUUAAAGGGAGCGUAGAUGGGUUGUUAAGUCAGUUGUGAAAGUUUGCGGCUCAACCGUAAAAUUGCAAUUGAUACUGGCAGUCUUGAGUACAGUUGAGGUAGGCGGAAUUCGUGGUGUAGCGGUGAAAUGCUUAGAUAUCACGAAGAACCCCGAUUGCGAAGGCGGCUCUCUGGUCUGCAACUGACGCUGAGGCUCGAAAGCAUGGGUAGCGAACAGGAUUAGAUACCCUGGUAGUC